GAUGAACGCUGGCGGCGUGCCUAAUACAUGCAAGUCGAGCGAACAGACGAGGAGCUUGCUCCUCUGACGUUAGCGGCGGACGGGUGAGUAACACGUGGAUAACCUACCUAUAAGACUGGUAUAACUUCGGGAAACCGGAGCUAAUACCGGAUAAUAUAUUGAACCGCAUGGUUCAAUAGUGAAAGACGGUUUUGCUGUCACUUAUAGAUGGAUCCGCGCCGCAUUAGCUAGUUGGUAAGGUAACGGCUUACCAAGGCAACGAUGCGUAGCCGACCUGAGAGGGUGAUCGGCCACACUGGAACUGAGACACGGUCAAGACGCCUACGGGAGGGAGCAGUAGGGAAUGUGACGCAAUGGGCGAAAGCAUGACGGAGCAACGCCGCGUGAGUGAUGAAGGUCUUCGGAUCGUAAAACUCUGUUAUUAGGGAAGAACAAAUGUGUAAGUAACUAUGCACGUCUUGACGGUACCUAAUCAGAAAGCCACGGCUAACUACGUG
rnacentral:rRNA from 1 species